AUGCUCUCCCCCUGCCCCUCUCGCACCCGGAGGCCCCCAGGACGCGGCGCCCCGCUUCUCAGCAUCCUCCAAACUUUCGCAGGAGCGGACCCGACACCGCACACCGCCCACCCCAGCCAGCAGGGCUUCCUCCUUCCCUGCUCUCCCACCCCCACGGAGAGGCUCCCACGCACCCGAUUCCCCCUCGGAGCACAGCUCGGGGACCGCUGCGCAUCCCCGGAGGAUUUUUCCACCCAACCUCCCCAUCCCAUCCCCAGUCCCCCCAUCCCACAGGGAUGCGUGGCAGGGACAGAGGGCAAACCCCGAGCACUCCCGUGGCGCUGCCCCGAGUGGGGCAGCGAUGCUGGGCUCUCACCUGCCUCCUUUUCUACCUCCUCCUCCUCCUCCUGCCGGCAGGACGGAGCGGGGGCCGCCGCCGGCCUCCUUUAUAUAGCGGCGGGGGGCGCAGCCUCCGAGCCGAGCCGAGCCGAGCCGCAGCGCCCCCCCGCGGCCCGAGGCUCCCCCCGCGCCGCCCCCGCGCCCCGAGCACUGGGGGGGGGCCGUGGGAAACGCGCCCCGCUUCGGGCCCCGGGAUGCUCGAAGCAGAAAGGAGGAGCUGGUCCCCAAAAAGGGGAGCCCGCAAGGAGAGAACCUGGCUCGUCGCAAACCCCCACAACCUGUGCUGGAAAGAUGUAG
rnacentral:lncRNA from 1 species